AAGGAUCAUUACCGAGUUAGGGUCCUUAACUGGCCCGACCUCCAACCCUUUGUCUACCUUACCUUAUGUUGCUUCGGCGAGCCCGUACCUUGAAAUAUAGGUACCGCCGGGGGCCUUGCGGCCUCUGGUCCGUGCUCGUCGAUAGCCCUUAUCAAACUCUUGAAUAACCAUGUCGUCUAAGUAAAAAGCACUUAAUAAAUUAAAACUUUCAACAACGGAUCUCUUGGUUUUG
rnacentral:misc_RNA from 1 species